UCAUGCCAUUUGGAUCAUAGGUAGUAAGGAGAGACAUCACAGCAUGACGACUUCAGUCUUCUACCCAGCUGCUGGAAAAUACAGAGACAGAGAGAAUGGGCAGCAAACUGACCUGCUCCUGAGAUGUGGAAUGGAAUAGCAGUGAGACCUACUGUCAAACUGGCCUGUAUGGCUUUCAGACAUUCAAGGAAAAAGCUGAUGAAAUUUCCUUCGUUGAGAGAGCAGCAUUUCAAUAUUUCUUAUGAGAAAUUGACUAUAACAUUAUCUUACAUACAAGUCUCCUCCAGCCUAUAGGUAUGCCUUUGUUGCAGAAUUUCUAUAUUCAACAUAUUGUCUGAUGUUCUUUGGGAA